rnacentral:rRNA from 1 species
GUACGGGAGGCAGCAGUGGGGAAUAUUGGACAAUGGGCGCAAGCCUGAUCCAGCAAUACCGCGUGUGUGAAGAAGGCCUGCGGGUUGUAAAGCACUUUAAGUUGGGAAGAAAAGCUGUGUGUUAAUACCACAUAGUGUUGACGUUACCAACAGAAUAAGCACCGGCUAACUCUGUGCCAGCAGCCGCGGUAAUACAGAGGGUGCAAGCGUUAAUCGGAAUUACUGGGCGUAAAGCGUACGUAGGUGGCUAAAUAAGUCAGAUGUGAAAUCCUCGAGCUCAACUUGAGAAUUGCAUUUGAAACUGCUUAGCUAGAGUAUGGUAGAGGGAAGUGGAAUUCCACGUGUAGCGGUGAAAUGCGUAGAUAUGUGGAGGAACAUCAGUGGCGAAGGCGACUUCCUGGACUAAUACUGACACUGAGGUACGAAAGCGUGGGGAGCAAACAGGAUUAGAUACCCUGGUAGU